AGAAUCAACGCUGGCGGCGUGCCUAACACAUGCAAGUCGAACGAGAAAGUGGAGCAAUCCAUGAGUAAAGUGGCGCACGGGUGAGUAACACGUGACUAACCUACCCUCGAGUGGGGAAUAACUUCGGGAAACCGAGGCUAAUACCGCAUAAAACCUAAGGGUCAAAGGAGCAAUCCGUUUGAGGAGGGGGUCGCGGCAGAUUAGUUAGUUGGCGGGGUAAUGGCCCACCAAGACGAUGAUCUGUAUCCGGCCUGAGAGGGCGCACGGACACACUGGAACUGAAACACGGUCCAGACUCCUACGGGAGGCAGCAGUGGGGAAUUUUGCGCAAUGGGGGAAACCCUGACGCAGCAACGCCGCGUGGAGGAUGAAAUCCCUUGGGAUGUAAACUCCUUUCGAUCGGGAAGAUAAUGACGGUACGGAAGAAGAAGCCCGGCUAACUUCGCGCCAGCAGCCGC
rnacentral:rRNA from 1 species